UAGGGAAUAUUAGUAAUGGGCGAAAGCCUGAACUAGCAACGCCGCGUGUGCGAAGAAGGCCUUCGGGUUUUAAAGCACUUUUUGAGAGGAUGAGGAAGGACGGUACUCUCAGAAUAAGUCUCGUCUAACUACGUGCCAGCAGCCGCGGUCACACGUAGGUGUCGAACGUUAUCCGGAUUUACUGGGCGUAAAGCUCUUGUAGGUGGUUUGAUAAGUAGGGCGUGAAAGCUCCUGGAUCAACUGGGAGAGGCCGUUAUAAACUGCAGAACUAGAGGAUGGUAGAGGGAGGUGGAAUACCGGGUGUAGCGGUGGAAUGAGCAGAUAUCCGAAGGAACAACAGUGGCGAAAGCGGCCUCCUGGACCACUCAUGACACUCAGACGCGAAAG
rnacentral:rRNA from 1 species